GACAGAGGGUGCAAACGUUGUUCGGAUUUACUGGGCGUAAAGCGCGUGUAGGCGGCUUUGCAAGUCGGAUGUGAAAUCCCACGGCUCAACCGUGGAAGUGCAUUCGAAACUGCAAGGCUAGAGUCCUGGAGAGGAAGGUGGAAUGCUUGGUGUAGAGGUGAAAUUCGUAGAUAUCAAGCGGAACACCGGUGGCGAAGGCGGCCUUCUGGACAGUGACUGACGCUGAGACGCGAAAGCGUGGGGAGCAAACAGG
rnacentral:rRNA from 1 species